rnacentral:rRNA from 1 species
GAUGAACGCUGGCGGCGUGCCUAAUACAUGCAAGUCGAGCGAACGGACGAGGCGCUUGCUUUUCUGAUGUUAGCGGCGGACGGGUGAGUAACACGUGGAUAACCCACCUAUAAGACUGGGAUAACCUCGGGAAACCGGAGCUAAUACCGGAUAAUAUUUUGAACCGCAUGGUUCAAUAGUGAAAGACGGUCUUUCUGUCACUUAUAGAUGGAUCCGCGCUGCAUUAGCUAGUUGGUAAGUUAACGGCUUACCAAGGCAACGAUGCAUAGCCGACCUGAGAGGGUGAUCGGCGACACUGGAACUGAGACACGGUCCAGGGUCCUAAGGGAGGCAGCAGUAGGGAAUCUUCCGCAAUGGGCGAAAGCCUGACGGAGCAACGCCGCGUGAGUGAUGGAGGUCUUGGGAUCGUAAAACUCUGUUAUUAGGGAAGAACAUAUGUGUAAGUAGCUGUGCACAGCUUGACGGUACCUGAUCAAAAAGCCACGGCUAACUACGUG